AUGGCCAUGGACACGUUCUACAUCUCCCACGGCUCGCCCACGCUCUCCAUCGACGACUCGCUGCCAGCGCGCCACUUCCUCAAGUCGUGGGAGCCGGCCGGUCUCGCCGGCCCGCAGCCGCCUCGCGCCAUCCUGAUCGUGUCCGGCCACUGGGAGACGGACACCCCGGCUGUCAACGUCAUCCGUGGCACCAACGACACCAUCUACGACUUCUAUGGCUUCCCCGACCAGAUGUACAAGCUGGUGUACCCUGCGCCGGGCGCGCCGGACGUGGCCAUGAGGACCAAGAAGCUCCUGGAGGACGCCGGGUUCGGGCCGGUGAGCGAGGACCACGGCCGCGGGCUCGACCACGGCGCGUGGGUGCCGCUGAUGCUCAUGUACCCGGAGGCCAACAUCCCGGUGUGCCAGCUCUCCGUGCAGACGGACCGCGACGGCACGUACCACUACGACCUCGGCAGGGCGCUGGCGCCGCUCCGGGACGACGGCGUGCUCAUUGUCGGCUCCGGCAGCGCCACGCACAACCUAGGCCGGAUCCUGCGGACGUUCGCGCCCACCAGCGGCGAGCCCGUGCCGGAGUGGGCGGCUGAGUUCGACGCCUGGCUCAGGGAGUCUUUACUCAACGGACGGCACGACGACGUGAAGCGGUACGAGGAGACGGCGCCGUUCGCCAAGGUGGCGCACCCGCGGCCGGACCACUUGUACCCGCUGCACGUCGCGCUCGGUGCGGCCGGGCCGGAGGCCAAAGCGGAGCUCAUCCACCGCAGCUGGUCCAACGCCACGCUCUCCUACGCGUCCUACCGGUUCACCACCAAGCAGCAAGAUAAACUGAUGGAGCCACCGUGUGACGGCGCUACCCCUGCUCUUGUAUGCGACUAA
rnacentral:rRNA from 1 species